GGCAGUGGAGAUAUACAUACUGAAGCUUCCUUCUCCCUUCUUUUAUUUAGGAAAGUGCAAAAGGAAGAUAAGGCCCCAAUGGACUCGGUGUACUGCGAGUACAAGCAUGUCAAGGCUCGGAUGCGACUGUUGGAGGUGCUCGUCUCCAAACACGAACAUCGACGUGAGAUAUGAAGCUGGCAGACGUCAUCUGUGUGCAACCCAAUCCUCCUUGAACAUUGUUGUUUCUCUCCUUUCUUCACCUCUCUUGAAGGGUUGCACUACCCCAUCGUAGAACCACAUGAUCAUGUGCUGUGGAGUGUGAAUGUGGGGUUCUGUGGCAGCAUAGUGGUCGAGAUACAGCAUUAUUAAUGUGCUCUUGCUGGCGGAAGCGUGAGAACACAUCUUUUCCUCUUUCUCCUGUCUUAUUUUGAUAUGUUUCUUUUUUUUCAUGGAACAAAAUAUGACCUGGAACAGAGAGAGAAUUCAUAAGCGCAUCGCGUACAUAACCUAACCAUUAAGCUGUCAUAACAUUUUAUUUUGUUCUACUCUGUGGCAUUUCUCUCAAUCUAUCCUCUGUUGUUCUUCAAGGAAAUAGCUGUUUUCAUUUUAUGCCCCCAGAGCUUCCAUUGCUCCGGAGCUUUUGUAAUGUGUGAUGCCACUUCUUCUUGUGGCCUUAUGGUUGACAGUUUAUUGUGGUGAUAAGAAGCCUGUCUUAUUGAGGGUGUUCUUGUCACAGUGUGAAAUGUUUUUAUGUCCAGCAGAGCUCUAUGCUUGAAACCGUGAUAUGCAAUAGAUGCAGUCACCGGCUGCAUCUCUUGGAGUUGGCACCGUGUUCACAUGAUUCAUGUGACAUGUUCACAUGGACAGCAGAUUAAUUUUACCACUAAUAAUACAGCAAAGGUUGUGCAUGUGUAUUUAGAUGCACAUACAUGAGCUUCACAUAAUGUGUACGUUCACUGGAGUGUAAAAGUGCUAUUUGUGUUUCAUUUCCAAUAUACACUACUUGUAGGGCAUGCCUGCUUGAAAAUGUUGUCAACUUUUAUGCACUUUCUAAAAUAAUCAUUUUAAUACUUUCACUUGGCUAAGGUUGCACUGCAGGCUACACAUUUAUUUUUAUUUUUACAGCACUUAUUCUUCUGCGCAAUGUGAACCAAACUAGAGGAUAAUAAAAAAGAGAGAACACUGUGUCAAUUCCAGCAGCAUUUUUUUUUUGUGCACUCAAUUUUGGUGAUUGCUUUCUUUUGCAAUUAUAUUGUUGUUACACUGGCAAGAACUAAGCUUGUGGCAUUUCUCAGUGUUUGUACUUGUCAUUAUGUAUGCAUCCCUUCUUGGUUACCUAGGAUGCAUGGGAAUAGUGUGGUGGCCUUCUGGUAGCUUUUGUUCAGAGGCAGUGCUUGAGAGUCAGGCUGCUUUGGCCACCUUUUUUAGCUCUUGUUUUAGAAUUGCAUCUUUGAAGGCAUGCCUGGCUGUAAUAGUUGGCAGACUUUGUGGCAUAUGGCAAGUGCCAGAUUUUCUGGCAGAUUGCUGGCUAUGAGGACACCACUGCUUGUGUUUUGGACGAUCGAGUGCCUUGAUCGGAUGGAACGGGACAAAGUGUUGCUUGUUUGCCAGGUAGCCAAGAUUGCUGUUCCCCUUCUGUUUUAUCAUGUGCGUCUGCUUGUAGACUGUUUGGUAUAUAUUGUACCUGACAUAUGUGUAUGUAUUUGUCCACAUGGGUUACACCUGUUUUCUAGAGGCAUGAUAUUACAAGCCACGGCAUUCUUAGUCUCCACAUGCUAUGUGUGUGACAUGGUAACUGCGGCCAUGUUGUGCGUGUGGCUAGUCUAGUGAAACUUUCCUCACUUGAGUUUAUGAAUUCUAUGGACCCAGUGUGAUGCUAUGUUUUUGUGUGUUUUUUAAAGUCUUUUUACAUUCAUCUAGACAUGCAGUUGGAGGUUUCUUUUUUUCUUCUUUAUGUACGAAGUGGUGCAGUGUCUGCAAGCAAGCUGUCAGAUGAUAUUUUGAGUAUGCAAAGUGCUGUAUAAAUAUUAAAUAUAUACAUACAUAUAUAUUAUAUAUACACAUAUACAUACAUAUACAUAUAUAAAUAUUAUUUGUCCAAGUGUCCGUGCAUAGUCUAAACCUGAAAUGUUCAUGGAUGACAGUAUUAUGUGUGAGAAUGUUGUUGGAUGAAUGAUUGGGAUACGUUAUUUAUGGCAGUGAAUGUGAUGCUGUGAGCAUUAAAAAGUUUCUAGAGAGUGCUUGCUGUUGUCUGAUUACAUGACCUCAAGCAGGUGCUGGUUUGAAUGCCUCUUCGUGGUCAAUAUUCCACCUGUUAUGAUGGGAUGACUGAAACCCACUCGUACAUGUUUUACAUGAAUGUCAUGCCACGUACUGAGCGCAAUAUUAUAAAGCAAAGGGAAGCAUGAGUGAAAUUAUUUGCUGAUUUAAUUGGGAAUGAUAAGAUGAAUGGAUGUAAAGGUGGGCACCAAGAAAAAAAACCCAUGGUGGGCAAAAAUCUAUUUUCCACUAUCAGAACUGUGAGAGCUGAUCUCACACCCUCUGUUUAGAUUCAUUUCCCCAGCGGCCAAUUUUUUUGUAUGCAUUUGUUUCCCUUUACCUUAUAUAACAUUGCUAAACUCCUAAUAAAACAACAUAUCAUUUCCCGAUGCUUUUUUUUGUCUUAUGUGAACUGUUGGCUUCAUAUGGGUGCGACAAACAAAAGCCGGGCCCCUCAGUUACACUUCUCGUUCAGUACGACAUUUGUGACAUGUAUGACCCUGGAUUAUAGCCAUUUUUGGUCUGAUACACACCAUUUUUUACGCUGCCAUGGUUGCAGAGUUGGAUACGCAUUUUUCUUCCAUAUGCAGCUUUACAAAAGAUUUACUAGAACCAUCUUGUUUACUUGAACUACCUUGUAGUUGUGAUUGUACUAACUGGCAAAACAGAUAACGUGGACUAAUGCAAGCUUGCAUAGUUUUUCACUGGAAUGACUUGAAGCUUGCUGCCAUGUUUCCUCUGACCAGUUGCUGCAAUGUGUUUCUAGCUUAUACUUGUAGUAAAGUGCACGUGUGUCCUGGUUAUUGACAGCACUUGUAGGUAGAAAGCUACCGAUCUCUGCAAAAUGUCCUUUAUUUAGCUUUGUUUUUACACUUCGUCUUGGUAGUAAUGAAUGUAGCAGGCAUAGUGCUAUAGCAUAGAUUUUGCGCUAUUUGACGUUUGUUUCAUUAUAAAAAUGCUGGAGAUAGAAGUGGCCAGCUUUUCACGAUGAACAUUCUAUAAUUGUUGAUACUGGCCCUUUUGUAUUAACAAACUCCUCCAUAUGCCUGGCUUGGGUAUAUUGUACCUUGUGUUUUGUAUUCAGAUAUUCCAGUGGUGUGAUCACAACAAUUGCAUCGCUCAGCAGUGUUGUCACAUGUAGAAUGCGUGUUGUUAUGAUAGUAAGUAACGUUAUGUCUGUGGUCAUGUAAAUGGUCAAAUAUGCUAUAUGCUUAUGAUUAUUUGGUAAUGUACUGCAGUUGUGGAUACAUACUGCAUGUAUUUUACGUUGUUGUAACUGCACCUUUCUUGGAAAUGCUGCAAGGAGCUUGAAGGUUGCCAAUUAAACAUUUGUGAGGCCA
rnacentral:lncRNA from 1 species